GAAUAAUUUUUUUUUAAUUUAGUCAUUUUUCAGAACAAAUGAAUGCCACCAAAAACAAAACAAAACAACAACAACAAAACGGUAUUAGCAGUAAGAUUGGGAAUAUUUCAUUCAGGCUUCACACAUGCCAUUUCCCAGAAACUUGGGAGGAAUGUUCACUUAUUUUGGCAAAAUGGCGAGCAACUCUCUCUACUACUGGGAAUUUUAGCUGGGGUCAAAAUUGCAUGCAGAUGGAAAGAACUUCUUGGAGAACAAUUCAGCAGUACUGCUUUGCUUGAAUGCGUCACGAAGAAUGCGCUUCCAAAACACAAAAUCCCGCACUGCUGGGCGAAAGGCAGCGAGGCCGGUACUGCCCGUGCCUCCGAGUCUACAGGCUCAGCCCACGCCCAAUUCCUCGCAAGAACGAGCAGCGACAGCUCGGGGCAGCUCGUGGGAUCCCAGAACGCUCCGCCGGUGGGAACUCUGGGCUGUGCUCAGACAAUCCGCCGAGCUCCUCGUGGAGACCCAUUCCCUUUCCUUUUGUUUCGUGUCUUCUCUUUAUCCAACCUGCGUGGAAAAAACCACAUCCAGGGGUAGAGACGGUACAACAAAGCCCUGAAGUCAAAGGGACAUCCUCGGGAUCCUCAAUCAGCCCGAAGCGCAAACGCAAGGACACUAAGUGUGAGCCGCCGGGCACCCGUAGCUGAGCUUCCCAGGCUCCUACGCGGGCACCGGAAGUGGCCGCCCAGCUUGACUUCCGCUCCCAAAGCACUCGCUCCCGGGGCUCGCGUUCUGGUUGUUAGGAAACCACCAAGGAGUUUGAGAGCAUGGAGGCCGCGCGCCCUCCCUCGACGGCAGGGAGGUUCGUGGUGGUCGGCGGAGGCAUCGCGGGUGUCACCUGUGCUGAGCAGGUACCGACUGCGCGGUGGCCCUUGUUGGACGAAGUUCCUCCGGCCUCUCCAGCUUCGCCUUAGACGCAGGGAGGAGUGGACGGCCAGUCUCAUAGGGAGAAAUAGAACAUGGUGGUUUUGAAGAAUCAGAGUUGUGAUUUAAGAAGAUUCUUUCAAGAAGCUUAAAGUGAGAGAGAGGUUGUAGCCAGAGGAAAAUGAUGAAAAAAAAUGGCA